rnacentral:rRNA from 1 species
GGGUUGUGAGGUUAAGCGACCAAGCGUACACGGUGGAUGCCCUGGCAGUCAGAGGCGAUGAAGGACGUGCUAAUCUGCGAAAAGCGUCGGCGAGGUGAUAUGAACCUUUGACCCGGCGAUGUCCGAAUGGGGAAACCCAGUGUGAUUCGUCACACUAUCGUUAACUGAAUACAUAGGUUAACGAGGCGAACCGGGGGAACUGAAACAUCUAAGUACCCCGAGGAAAAGAAAUCAACCGAGAUUCCCCCAGUAGCGGCGAGCGAACGGGGAGCAGCCCAGAGCCUGAAUCAGCCAGUGUGGUAGUGGAAGUGUCUGGAAAGGCACGCGAUACAGGGUGACAGCCCCGUACACAAAACCGCACCGGUUGUGAGCUCGAUGAGUAGGGCGGGACACGUGGUAUCCUGUCUGAAUAUGGGGGGACCAUCCUCCAAGGCUAAAUACUCCUGACUGACCGAUAGUGAACCAGUACCGUGAGGGAAAGGCGAAAAGAACCCCGGCGAGGGGAGUGAAAAAGAACCUGAAACCGUGUACGUACAAGCAGUGGGAGCCUCUUUAUGGGGUGACUGCGUACCUUUUGUAUAAUGGGUCAGCGACUUAUAUUCUGUAGCAAGGUUAACCGAAUAGGGGAGCCGCAGGGAAACCGAGUCUUAACUGGGCGUUAAGUUGCAGGGUAUAGACCCGAAACCCGGUGAUCUAGCCAUGGGCAGGUUGAAGGUUGGGUAACACUAACUGGAGGACCGAACCGACUAAUGUUGAAAAAUUAGCGGAUGACCUGUGGCUGGGGGUGAAAGGCCAAUCAAACCGGGAGAUAGCUGGUUCUCCCCGAAAGCUAUUUAGGUAGCGCCUCGUGAACUCAUCUCCGGGGGUAGAGCACUGUUUCGGCUAGGGGGCCAUCCCGGCUUACCAACCCGAUGCAAACUGCGAAUACCGGAGAAUGUUAUCACGGGAGACACACGGCGGGUGCUAACGUCCGUCGUGAAGAGGGAAACAACCCAGACCGCCAGCUAAGGUCCCAAAGUCAUGGUUAAGUGGGAAACGAUGUGGGAAGGCUCAGACAGCCAGGAUGUUGGCUUAGAAGCAGCCAUCAUUUAAAGAAAGCGUAAUAGCUCACUGGUCGAGUCGGCCUGCGCGGAAGAUGUAACGGGGCUAAACCAUGCACCGAAGCUGCGGCAGCGACACUAUGUGUUGUUGGGUAGGGGAGCGUUCUGUAAGCCGUUGAAGGUGUGUCGUGAGGCAUGCUGGAGGUAUCAGAAGUGCGAAUGCUGACAUAAGUAACGAUAAAGCGGGUGAAAAGCCCGCUCGCCGGAAGACCAAGGGUUCCUGUCCAACGUUAAUCGGGGCAGGGUGAGUCGACCCCUAAGGCGAGGCCGAAAGGCGUAGUCGAUGGGAAACAGGUUAAUAUUCCUGUACUUGGUGUUACUGCGAAGGGGGGACGGAGAAGGCUAUGUCGGCCGGGCGACGGUUGUCCCGGUUUAAGCGUGUAGGUGUGUGUUCCAGGUAAAUCCGGUUCACUUUAACACUGAGGCGUGAUGACGAGGCACUACGGUGCUGAAGUGACAAAUGCCCUGCUUCCAGGAAAAGCCUCUAAGCAUCAGGUAACACGAAAUCGUACCCCAAACCGACACAGGUGGUCAGGUAGAGAAUACCAAGGCGCUUGAGAGAACUCGGGUGAAGGAACUAGGCAAAAUGGUGCCGUAACUUCGGGAGAAGGCACGCUGAUAUGUAGGUGAAGUGAUUUACUCAUGGAGCUGAAAUCAGUCGAAGAUACCAGCUGGCUGCAACUGUUUAUUAAAAACACAGCACUGUGCAAACACGAAAGUGGACGUAUACGGUGUGACGCCUGCCCGGUGCCGGAAGGUUAAUUGAUGGGGUUAUCCGUAAGGAGAAGCUCUUGAUCGAAGCCCCGGUAAACGGCGGCCGUAACUAUAACGGUCCUAAGGUAGCGAAAUUCCUUGUCGGGUAAGUUCCGACCUGCACGAAUGGCGUAAUGAUGGCCAGGCUGUCUCCACCCGAGACUCAGUGAAAUUGAACUCGCUGUGAAGAUGCAGUGUACCCGCGGCAAGACGGAAAGACCCCGUGAACCUUUACUAUAGCUUGACACUGAACACUGGUCCUUGAUGUGUAGGAUAGGUGGGAGGCUUUGAAGCGUGGACGCCAGUCUGCGUGGAGCCGCCCUUGAAAUACCACCCUUUAAUGGCUGGUGUUCUAACGUGGGCCCGUAAUCCGGGUUGCGGACAGUGUCUGGUGGGUAGUUUGACUGGGGCGGUCUCCUCCUAAAGAGUAACGGAGGAGCACGAAGGUUGGCUAAUCCUGGUCGGACAUCAGGAGGUUAGUGCAAUGGCAUAAGCCAGCUUGACUGCGAGCGUGACGGCGCGAGCAGGUGCGAAAGCAGGUCAUAGUGAUCCGGUGGUUCUGAAUGGAAGGGCCAUCGCUCAACGGAUAAAAGGUACUCCGGGGAUAACAGGCUGAUACCGCCCAAGAGUUCAUAUCGACGGCGGUGUUUGGCACCUCGAUGUCGGCUCAUCACAUCCUGGGGCUGAAGUAGGUCCCAAGGGUAUGGCUGUUCGCCAUUUAAAGUGGUACGCGAGCUGGGUUUAGAACGUCGUGAGACAGUUCGGUCCCUAUCUGCCGUGGGCGCUGGAGAACUGAGGGGGGCUGCUCCUAGUACGAGAGGACCGGAGUGGACGCAUCACUGGUGUUCGGGUUGUCAUGCCAAUGGCACUGCCCGGUAGCUAAAUGCGGAAGAGAUAAGUGCUGAAAGCAUCUAAGCACGAAACUUGCCCCGAGAUGAGUUCUCCCUGACUCCUUGAGAGUCCUGAAGGAACGUUGAAGACGACGACGUUGAUAGGCCGGGUGUGUAAGCGCAGCGAUGCGUUGAGCUAACCGGUACUAAUGAACCGUGAGGCUUAACCUUACAACGCCGAAG